GAUGAACGCUGGCGGCGUGCCUAAUACAUGCAAGUCGAGCGAACGGACGAGAAGCUUGCUUCUCUGAUGUUAGCGGCGGACGGGUGAGUAACACGUGGUUAACCUACCUAUAAGACUGGGAUAACUUCGGGAAACCGUAGCUAAUACCGGAUAAUAUUUUGAACCGCAUGGUUCAAAAGUGAAAGACGGUCUUGCUGUCACUUAUAGAUGGAUCCGCGCUGCAUUAGCUAGUUGGUAAGGUAACGGCUUACCAAGGCAACGAUGCAUAGCCGACCUGAGAAGGUGAUCGGCCACACUGGAACUGAGACACGGUCCAGACUCCUACGGGAUGCAUCAGUAGGGAAUCUUCCGCAAUGGGCGAAAGCCUGACGGAGCAACGCCGCGUGAGUGAUGAAGGUCUUCGGAUCGUAAAACUCUGUUAUUAGGGAAGAACAUAUGUGUAAGUAACUGUGCACAUCUUGACGGUACCUAAUCAGAAAGCCACGGCUAACUACGUG
rnacentral:rRNA from 1 species